GACGAACGCUGGCGGCGUGCUUAACACAUGCAAGUCGUACGGUCAGGCCCUAUCGGGGGUACACGAGUGUCGGACGGGUGCGUAACACGUGCGUAAGCUGCCCCCAACUUUGGGACAACGCUAGCUAACUGGAGCUAGUACUGAAUACGUGUUCCUUUUUCAAGCGCGGGGUUGGAAAGCUCCGGCGGUUCUGGAUGGACCCGCUGCCUAUCAGCUUGCUGGUGCGGUAGUGGCCUACCGAGGCGGCGGCGGGUAGCCAGACUGUGAGAGUGACCGGCGACACUGGGUCUGAGGGACGGCCGAGAUUGCUACGGGAGGGAGCAGGGGGGAAUAUUGCAGAAUGGACGCCAGGCUGAUGAAGCAGGGCCGCGGACCGGAUGACUGCCUUCUUGUUGUAAACCGCUUUCAGCAGGGACGAAGCUUUUUGUGACGGUACCUGAAGAAGAAGCAACGGCUAACUACGUG
rnacentral:rRNA from 1 species